rfam:Bacteroidetes bacterium 43-93 SCNpilot_expt_1000_bf_scaffold_49, whole genome shotgun sequence.
GGGGCCGACCGGUUUUGACAGCAUAGGGCAGGGUAAGUAAGCAUGUCGUGCGUUGUGUAAUUAGCACGUAAAUCUGAAUACCCAAAUUUUGAAUGGCGAAUCUAACUUUGCCAUGGCUGCCUAAUUAUUAAUUAGACAACCAUUUUGGCCGCUGAGGGCUUUGACCUGUUGACGCUCCGGCCGCCUAACUCAAACUUCAAUAGGAUAGUACAUGCAGGCUGCGAUGUGUGUAUGAAAACAAAGCAGAUAGGAAGGGUGUAGGUUUGUCCUGGUCCGGCACACUUCCGAAGAUCAAUCCCGGAAUACACAUGUAGAAAGCUUAUCGGGCAUAUGUUUGGACGCGGGUUCGAAUCCCGCCGGUUCCACAA